CGGAGGAAUCGCGAUCGAGUUCGUUGUGGGCGCGUUUCGGCGCGUCACACGGCGAAGACGCGAAUCUCUGGCCGACGACGGACAGUAAGCAAUGGUGGCCGACGUUGCGUCUUGUACGCGGCGUCGGCGCUGGUCAGCGACGAUUUCUUCGGGCCUCUUUCCGACCCGUCUUGAAACACGGACCAAGGAGUCUAACAUGCGCGCGAGUCGCGGGGUAUCGAGCGUACUACGGUGCGCUCGUCACAUUACGAAACCCGUACGUUAAAGGCGUAAUGAAAGUGAACAGGGAAGAUGGUGUUCCGAGUAUACGUACCGCGGUCAAGUAUCGCGGCCGGACGCCCGCAUUCCCGGGGCGUCUCAACGGCUCGUCGCGGAUGCGGACGGUCGUCUUUCGGGGCGAUCGUCGGUCUGCGACGGUCCGA
rnacentral:rRNA from 1 species